CCCCUCUGUCACUAUGAAUGAAUACAUAGAGGUUCACUUUAAUUGACAUCAACAUGACAAGGACUAAAGUAGUGCAAAAGAAGCCUCUAUGUUAGCAUCGGGUGUGAACUUUACACACUGGUUUGCUGAAGUGAAGAAAAAAUGGAAGGACAAGGGGACGGACGGCACAACGGUCCAAAUUGCUACCGUAUUCCACUGCCAAUAGGAAAUGGAGCACGGAAUAUCGAGACCUUGGGACUAAGAGUUGUUAUUUCAAAUCAGGAGAUCAUCUUUUCCAUCCAUGCCCUGAUACGGC